rnacentral:rRNA from 1 species
CAGCACCUCAAGUGGUCAGGAUGAUUAUUGGGCCUAAAGCAUCCGUAGCCGGCGCUGUAAGUUUUCGGUUAAAUCUGUACGCUCAACGUACAGGCUGCCGGGAAUACUGCAGCGCUAGGGAGUGGGAGAGGUAGACGGUACUCGGUAGGAAGGGGUAAAAUGCUUUGAUCUAUUGAUGACCACCUGUGGCGAAGGCGGUCUACCAGAACACGUCCGACGGUGAGGGAUGAAAGCUGGGGGAGCAAAACGGAUUAGAUACCCGGGUAGUCC